UACGUAGGGGGCAAGCGUUGUCCGGAUUCAUUGGGCGUAAAGAGCGUGUAGGCGGCCAGGUAGGUCGGUUGUGAAAACUGGAGGCUCAACCUUCAGACGUCGACCGAAACCAUCUGGCUAGAGUCCGGGAGAGGAGAGUGGAAUUCCGUGGUGUAGCGGUGAAAUGCGCAGAUAUCAGGAAGAACACCCGUGGCUAAGGCGGUUCUCUAGUACGGUACUGACGCUGAGGCGCGAAAGCUAGGGGAGCGAACAGG
rnacentral:rRNA from 1 species